UACAGAGGGGGCAAGCGUUGUUCGGAAUUACUGGGCGUAAAGGGCGCGUAGGCGGCCCGGUAAGUCGGACGUGAAAUCCCCAAGCUUAACUUGGGAACUGCGUCUGAUACUGCAAGGCUUGAGUUCGGGAGAGGGAUGUGGAAUUCCAGGUGUAGCGGUGAAAUGCGUAGAUAUCUGGAGGAACACCGGUGGCGAAGGCGGCAUCCUGGACCGAAACUGACGCUGAGGCGCGAAAGCUAGGGGAGCAAACGGG
rnacentral:rRNA from 1 species